rnacentral:rRNA from 1 species
CCUACGGGGGGCUGCAGUGGGGAAUUUUGCGCAAUGGACGAAAGUCUGACGCAGCAACGCCGCGUGGGUGACGAAGGUCUUCGGAUCGUAAAACCCUGUCGUCAGGGACGAAGGUAGGGAGUUUAAUACGCUCUUUGCUUGACGGUACCUGGAGAGGAAGCCCCGGCUAACUCUGUGCCAGCAGCCGCGGUAAUACAGAGGGGGCAAGCGUUAUUCGGAAUUAUUGGGCGUAAAGGGCGCGUAGGCGGUUCUGUAAGUAGGAUGUGCAAUCCCCG